rnacentral:rRNA from 1 species
CCUACGGGAGGCUGCAGUGAGGAAUAUUGGUCAAUGGACGAGAGUCUGAACCAGCCAAGUAGCGUGGAGGAUGACUGCCCUAAGGGUUGUAAACUUCUUUUAUAUGGGAAUAAAAUGUUCCACGUGUGGGAUUUUGUAUGUACCAUAUGAAUAAGGAUCGGCUAACUCCGUGCCAGCAGCCGCGGUAAUACGGAGGAUCCGAGCGUUAUCCGGAUUGAUGGGGUUUAAAGGGAGCGUAGGUGGAUUGUUAAGUCAGUUGUGAAAGUUUGCGGCUCAACCGUAAAAUUGCAGUUGAAACUGGCAGUCUUGAGUACAGUAGAGGUGGGCGGAAUGCGUGGUGUAGCGGUGAAAUGCUUAGAUAUCACGAAGAACUCCGAUUGCGAAGGCAGUUCACUGGACUGCAACUGACACUGAGGCUCGAAAGUGUGGGUAUCAAACAGGAUUAGAUACCCGUGUAGUC